rnacentral:snRNA from 2 species
GGAAGUGAGGGCAAUCUGGCUGUAACAUGUGUCACCAGGGUGGAUUGAGCUGAUCUGACGGGCUAGCUAGGUGUCCCCUUCUUCCCUCACUUCUCCAUGUGCAUCUCUCCCAAAGCUGCACACUCAGUCCAAGAGGACAGCCAUCCCCAAUAGAAGAGGACUGGUCUUCAGUCAAACCUACAUGAGUAGUUAUGCUUCCCUGCUAAAACCUCCAAACAGGCUCUUAAGAUGAUGGAGGAAGACACAACAGGCUAUUAACAAUAAAACACAUUGAAUAGUUAGGCAAAAAAUU